AAUUUCUUUCCCAUAGCCCUAGCUUGUCCUGGCAUUAGCUCUGUAGACCAGUCUGGCUUCCAACUCACAGAGAUCCACCUGCCUCUGCCUCACAGGGGCUGGGAUUAAUGGUGCAGAGCACCUUUCUCUCUCAAAAUGAAGUUAGUCAAUUAGGCUCCUGUAUCUAGCAACCAACUUCAGGAAAGCCAGUGUGUCUUCAUGCCUAAUGGACAUCCCUGGAACAAACAAAUCAAACAGAACAAAGGAAUUCUAGAGGGAGUAGAGCUGGACGUCCUGGUGUGACAGAAGUUCAAUCAAACAGAAUUGAUAAGAAAGGUCUUAAAUUAUCUCUAUUGACUGAAACUGGAUUUUACAACUCGACAUGCCCAAAUAGACUUGGAGCCACAGUAUCCCAGAGACUUAUUUGAAAAUUUCAGGAUAUGAGUAUGAAAAGCACCGUGUUAGAAAUGAAGAUUUCUCUAUGAUGUUGGAGAAGACUCUCCUGUACUAUUCCUUUUUACCCUCUUUCCCAGUAAUAACCCUGAAGGCCCCUCUCAGUCUCUGUGCUUUGAAAAUGGUGUUACACUCAGUGCGCACAAAGUGGUCCUGAAGAGCCAUGGUCUUUCACUACACAUUCGUGCGACCCAGGGAGGAGUAUUAAAAAAGUACGGAAGCAUCCCUGGAAUUCUAGAGAUAACUUUGUGGGAACCAAGUGAUCUUUCUAUCUCCCCAGCAUGGAAACAUGUUUUCAACUGUAACACAUCGUGUAAGUCCACCUGAGGGAAUUCAUUCCAUCCAGGACUCAGCCAUGCUUUCAAACCAAUUAAGAUGAUGGACUGUGCAUUUAAUACAUUUUUCCAAUUGUAAAAGAAAAUAUGUAUUACGAAGCAACAAAUCUCUACAUUAUACAUUUUAUCACCUUAUAAAAACCUUU
ensembl:lncRNA